rnacentral:rRNA from 1 species
UGGGGAAUAUUGGACAAUGGGCGAAAGCCUGAUCCAGCCAUGCCGCGUGUGUGAAGAAGGUCUUCGGAUUGUAAAGCACUUUAAGUUGGGAGGAAGGGCAGUAAGCGAAUACCUUGCUGUUUUGACGCUACCGACAGAAUAAGCACCGGCUAACUCUGUGCCAGCAGCCGCGGUAAUACAGAGGGUGCGAGCGUUAAUCGGAUUUACUGGGCGUAAAGCGUGCGUAGGCGGCUAAUUGAGUCGGAUGUGAAAUCCCCGAGCUUAACUUGGGAAUUGCAUUCGAUACUGGUUAGCUAGAGUGUGGGAGAGGAUGGUAGAAUUCCAGGUGUAGCGGUGAAAUGCGUAGAGAUCUGGAGGAAUACCGAUGGCGAAGGCAGCCAUCUGGCCUAACACUGACGCUGAGGUACGAAAGCAUGGGGAGCAAACAGG